rnacentral:rRNA from 1 species
GAGUAACACGUGGAGAACCUGCCCCCUCCCCCGGGAUAGCCGUCCGAAAGGACGGGUAAUACCGGAUACCCCGGGGUGCCGCAUGGCACCCCGGCUAAAGCCCCGACGGGAGGGGAUGGCUCCGCGGCCCAUCAGGUAGACGGCGGGGUGACGGCCCACCGUGCCGACAACGGGUAGCCGGGUUGAGAGACCGACCGGCCAGAUUGGGACUGAGACACGGCCCAGACUCCUACGGGAGGCAGCAGUGGGGAAUCUUGCGCAAUGGGGGGAACCCUGACGCAGCGACGCCGCGUGCGGGACGGAGGCCUUCGGGUCGUAAACCGCUUUCAGCAGGGAAGAGUCAAGACUGUACCUGCAGAAGAAGCCCCGGCUAACUACGUGCCAGCAGCCGCGGUAAUACGUAGGGGGCGAGCGUUAUCCGGAUUCAUUGGGCGUAAAGCGCGCGUAGGCGGCCCGGCAGGCCGGGGGUCGAAGCGGGGGGCUCAACCCCCCGAAGCCCCCGGAACCUCCGCGGCUUGGGUCCGGUAGGGGAGGGUGGAACACCCGGUGUAGCGGUGGAAUGCGCAGAUAUCGGGUGGAACACCGGUGGCGAAGGCGGCCCUCUGGGCCGAGACCGACGCUGAGGCGCGAAAGCUGGGGGAGCGAACAGGAUUAGAUACCCUGGUAGUCCCAGCCGUAAACGAUGGACGCUAGGUGUGGGGGGACGAUCCCCCCGUGCCGCAG